rnacentral:rRNA from 1 species
AUUGAACGCUGGCGGCAUGCCUUACACAUGCAAGUCGAACGGCAGCACGGGUGCUUGCCCCUGGUGGCGAGUGGCGAACGGGUGAGUAAUACAUCGGAACAUGUCCUGUAGUGGGGGAUAGCCCGGCGAAAGCCGGAUUAAUACCGCAUACGAUCUACGGAUGAAAGCGGGGGGCCUUCGGGCCUCGCGCUAUAGGGUUGGCCGAUGGCUGAUUAGCUAGUUGGUGGGGUAAAGGCCUACCAAGGCGACGAUCAGUAGCUGGUCUGAGAGGACGACCAGCCACACUGGGACUGAGACACGGCCCAGACUCCUACGGGAGGCAGCAGUGGGGAAUUUUGGACAAUGGGCGAAAGCCUGAUCCAGCAAUGCCGCGUGUGUGAAGAAGGCCUUCGGGUUGUAAAGCACUUUUGUCCGGAAAGAAAUCCUUGGCCCUAAUACGGUCGGGGGAUGACGGUACCGGAAGAAUAAGCACCGGCUAACUACGU